CCAGCCAAAGUUCAGGUACUGCCCCUGUCUGAGUUUGGGCAUGUGGCCCACAGAUGCCAGCUGGGGGCUGGAAUACUGUACCUUGAUCUUAGGGCCCAGAAAAAUCAGACCGAGGGACACGCAGGCACUGCUGUCUGCAACACAAGCAAUGGAGCUGCGGAGGCGAGACUACCACAUGGAACGGCCGCUGCUGAACCAGGAGCAUUUGGAGGAGCUGGGGCGCUGGGGCUCAGCACCUAGGACCCGCCAGUGGCAGACCUGGUUGCAGUGCUCCCGUGCUCGGGCCCGUGCCCUUCUACUCCAACACCUCCCGGUUUUGGUCUGGUUACCCCGGUAUCCUGUGCGUGACUGGCUCGUGGGUGACCUGUUAUCCGGCCUGAGUGUGGCCAUCAUGCAGCUUCCACAGGAUCUGCUCUCCAGGCCCGCACUGCUACCAUUCUACCCCUAGGCUUGGCCUACGCCCUCCUGGCUGGAUUGCCCCCUGUGUUUGGCCUCUAUAGCUCCUUCUACCCCGUCUUCAUCUACUUCCUGUUUGGCACUUCCCGGCACAUCUCUGUGGGGACCUUUGCUGUCAUGUCUGUGAUGGUGGGCAGUGUGACAGAAUCCCUGGCCCCGCAGGCCUUGAACGACUCCAUGAUCAAUGAGACAGCCAGAGACGCUGCCCGGGUACAGGUGGCCUCCACGCUCAGUGUCCUGGUUGGCCUCUUCCAGGUGGGGCUGGGCCUGAUCCACUUCGGCUUCGUGGUCACCUACCUGUCAGAGCCUCUUGUCCGAGGCUAUACCACAGCUGCAGCUGUGCAGGUCUUCGUCUCACAGCUCAAGUAUGUGUUUGGCCUCCAUCUGAGCAGCCACUCUGGGCCACUGUCCCUCAUCUAUGUGAGUGAGGGUGGGAGGAGGGAGGGGUAGGUGUGCCCCAUGGCCUUGAGUGCUGGCUGUGACCCGGCCUCUCCUCAGACAGUGCUGGAGGUCUGCCGGAAGCUGCCCCAGAGCAAGGUUGGCACCGUGGUCACUGCAGCUGUGGCUGGGGUGGUGCUCGUGGUGGUGAAGCUGUUGAAUGACAAGCUGCAGCAGCAGCUGCCCAUACCGAUACCCGGGGAGCUGCUCACG
rnacentral:sRNA from 1 species